UCUUCCUUGGUCUAGUGGUCAUGAUUUCCGCUUGUCAGUCCUAAAACAGCUAACAAGCGCGGGAGACCGGGGUUCGAUUCCCCGAGGGAGAG